CAAGGGCCCCCGAAAAGGGCCUUCGAAC
rnacentral:rRNA from 1 species